ACUCCUACGGGAGGCAGCAGUGGGGAAUAUUGCACAAUGGGCGAAAGCCUGAUGCAGCAACGCCGCGUGAGGGACGACGGCCUUCGGGUUGUAAACCUCUUUUAGUAGGGAAGAAGCGAAAGUGACGGUACCUGCAGAAAAAGCACCGGCUAACUACGUGCCAGCAGCCGCGGUAAUACGUAGGGUGCAAGCGUUGUCCGGAAUUAUUGGGCGUAAAGAGCUCGUAGGCGGUUUGUCGCGUCUGCUGUGAAUCCCGAGGCUCAACCUCGGGUCUGCAGUGGGUACGGGCAGACUAGAGUGCGGUAGGGGAGAUUGGAAUUCCUGGUGUAGCGGUGGAAUGCGCAGAUAUCAGGAGGAACACCGAUGGCGAAGGCAGAUCUCUGGGCCGUAACUGACGCUGAGGAGCGAAAGCAUGGGGAGCGAACAGGAUUAGAUACCCUGGUAGUCCAUGCCGUAAACGUUGGGAACUAGAUGUAGGGACCAUUCCACGGUUUCUGUGUCGCAGCUAACGCAUUAAGUUCCCCGCCUGGGGAGUACGGCCGCAAGGCUAAAACUCAAAGGAAUUGACGGGGGCCCGCACAAGCGGCGGAGCAUGCGGAUUAAUUCGAUGCAACGCGAAGAACCUUACCAAGGCUUGACAUAUACCGGAAACGUCCAGAGAUGGUCGCCCCGCAAGGUCGGUAUACAGGUGGUGCAUGGUUGUCGUCAGCUCGUGUCGUGAGAUGUUGGGUUAAGUCCCGCAACGAGCGCAACCCUCGUUCUAUGUUGCCAGCACGUUAUGGUGGGAACUCAUAGGAGACUGCCGGGGUCAACUCGGA
rnacentral:rRNA from 1 species